GCUUGCUUUGGUAGUAUAUAUGAAAGUUGGAGCGAUGCAGAGAAGAUCAGCAUGGCCCCAUGUGCAAGGAUGAUAUGCCAAAAGUACUGAUUUUAAAAACUAGU
ensembl:snRNA U6 U6 spliceosomal RNA